AUCCCAGAUAAGCUUGAACGUAAUGUUAAGUGCUUAUUCUGAUUCAUGGGAGGCCAAAAUUGAUUACUGGAAGUUUCGCUGAUAAAUGCCGAUUUCUGACUCAUAUCAAGGCGUUUACUAGUAACUUUUCCAUACACUU
rfam:Cajanus cajan CcLG06_655, whole genome shotgun sequence.